AUUCCAACUGGCAUCUUGCUUGAAGUCCUUAUAUUAUUCUCUUCGGCUGCCCUACCUUGUGACAGAGAUCUGAGAACCAGUAUGGAUUUUUUGACACUUGCAUACUGAAAAACAGAAAGCACUGAAAGUAAACUGUAACACUUCUGAAACUACAUGGGAUGAAAUAUUGAGCAGAACUCAGAAGAGAAAAGAUAGUAGAUGUUCCAAGAACGAGGAUGAAAUGCUCAGGAUUAUAUAUUGUUAAGCAUCCUUGGAGGAGAGUGGCACUUCAGGUGUAUCUCUACAAGAUGGUCACAGUCAUUCUAGCUCAUCUAGAGCAGCUUUAAAGAGUAAAAGCUCUGCUGGAAUCUUCAGUGUAAACAUACCAAACUGACUGUAUGUGUUUGCAGACUGCACACUUGUGCCCCGAUAGUUAUUACUUUCCCAUAUAUAAAAAGUUAGUUGGAAGCUAGUCUGACUAGUCUAAUUUAAAUCCUUCUGAAAUUAAAUGGAGUCUAGUCCUUGACACAAAAUUUGGAUGAUGUUGUAUAAUUUUCUAACUUCAGUAAUAGUGUUUGGACUUCCACUGAAUUUGAGAUGACUAAUGUGCUGUUUAAAAAUAUUGGUAUAAAUCACUGCUU